CCUACGGGUGGCUGCAGUGAGGAAUAUUGGUCAAUGGGGGAAACUCUGACCCAGCAACGCCGCGUGAAUGAUGAAGGUCUUCGGAUUGUAAAGUUCUUUCCUAAGGGAAGAAGAAAGUGACGGUACCUUAGGAAUACGCCUCGGCUAACUCCGCGCCAGCAGCCGCGGUAAUAUGGAGGGUGCAAGCGUUACUAGGAAUCACUGGGCGUAAAGAGCGCGUAGGGGGGGUAGCAAGUCAGAUGUGAAAGCCUAGGGCUUAACCAUAGAACUGCCUUUGAAACUUUUGUUCUAGAGUAAGGGAGAGGUAGGUGGAAUUCUUGGUGUAGGGGUAAAAUCCGUAGA
rnacentral:rRNA from 1 species